rnacentral:rRNA from 1 species
CAAGCGGUGGAGCAUGUGGUUUAAUUCGACGCAACGCGAAGAACUACCAGGCUUGACAUCCCCUGACCGCGUAUGAAGUACGUUUCACCCUCGGGUGACAGGGAGACAGGUGGUGCAUGGUUGUCGUCAGCUCGUGUCGUGAGAUGUUGGGUUAAGUCCCGCAACGAGCGCAACCCUCGACCUUAGUUGCCAGCAUUCAGUUGGGCACUCUAAGGUGACUGCCGGCUAAAAGUCGGAGGAAGGUGGGGAUGACGUCAAAUCAUCAUGCCCCUUAUGACCUGGGCUACACACGUGCUACAAUGGGCGGUACAAAGGGUCGCGAACCCGCGAGGGGGAGCCAAUCCCAAAAAGCCGCUCUCAGUUCGGAUUGCAGGCUGCAACUCGCCUGCAUGAAGCCGGAAUCGCUAGUAAUCGCGGAUCAGCAUGCCGCGGUGAAUACGUUCCCGGGCCUU